rnacentral:rRNA from 1 species
GAUGAACGCUGGCUGCGUGCCUAAUACAUGCAAGUCGAACGGUAAGGCCCUUCGGGGUACACGAGUGGCGAACGGGUGAGUAACACGUGGGUGAUCUGCCCUGCACUUCGGGAUAAGCCUGGGAAACUGGGUCUACUACCGGAUAGGACCUCUGCCGGCCUGGGGGGCGGUGGAAAGCUUUCGCGGUGUGGGAUGGGCCCGCUGCCUAUCAGCUUGUUGGGGGGGUGAUGGCCUAGCAAGGCGACGACGGGUAGCCGGCCUGAGAGAGUGACCGGCCACACUGGGACUGAGAUACGGCCCAGACUCCUACGGGAGGCAGCAGCGGGGAAUAUUGCACAAUGGGCGCAAGCCUGAUGCAGCGACGCCGCGUGAGGGAUGACGGCCUUCGGGUUGUAAACCUCUUUCAGCACCGACGAAGCGCAAGUGACGGUAGGUGCAGAAGAAGCCCCGGCUAACUUCGUGCCAGCAGCCGCAGUAA